AGUCGAGCGGACAGAAGGGAGCUUGCUCCCGGAUGUUAGCGGCGGACGGGUGAGUAACACGUGGGUAACCUGCCUGUAAGACUGGGAUAACUCCGGGAAACCGGAGCUAAUACCGGAUAGUUCCUUGAACCGCAUGGUUCAAGGAUGAAAGACGGUUUCGGCUGUCACUUACAGAUGGACCCGCGGCGCAUUAGCUAGUUGGUGAGGUAACGGCUCACCAAGGCGACGAUGCGUAGCCGACCUGAGAGGGUGAUCGGCCACACUGGGACUGAGACACGGCCCAGACUCCUACGGGAGGCAGCAGUAGGGAAUCUUCCGCAAUGGACGAAAGUCUGACGGAGCAACGCCGCGUGAGUGAUGAAGGUUUUCGGAUCGUAAAGCUCUGUUGUUAGGGAAGAACAAGUGCAAGAGUAACUGCUUGCACCUUGACGGUACCUAACCAGAAAGCCACGGCUAACUACGUGCCAGCAGCCGCGGUAAUACGUAGGUGGCAAGCGUUGUCCGGAAUUAUUGGGCGUAAAGGGCUCGCAGGCGGUUUCUUAAGUCUGAUGUGAAAGCCCCCGGCUCAACCGGGGAGGGUCAUUGGAAACUGGGAAACUUGAGUGCAGAAGAGG
rnacentral:rRNA from 1 species